rnacentral:misc_RNA from 1 species
GAUGAAGAACGUAGUGAAAUGCGAUACUUGGUGUGAAUUGCAGAAUCCCGUGAACCAUCGAGUCUUUGAACGCAAGUUGCGCCCGAGGCCUCCUGGUCGAGGGCACGUCUGCCUGGGUGUCACGCAUCGUCGCCCCCUCUCCCCUCGGCUCGCGAGGGCGGGGGCGGAUACUGGUCUCCCGCGCGCUCCCGCUCGCGGUUGGCCCAAAAUCGAGUCCUCGGCGACGGUCGCCACGACGAGCGGUGGUUGAGAGACCCUCGGACACGGUCGUGCGCGCGCCUGUCGCCCCCGGGAUCUCCUGGACCCUCGGGCAUCGAAAUUCUAGGAUGCUCUCGUUGCAACCCCAGGUCAGGCGGGACUACCCGCUGAGUUUAAGCAUAUCAAUAAGCGGAGGA